UACACUCCUACGGGAGGCAGCAGUGGGGAAUUUUGGACAAUGGGCGAAAGCCUGAUCCAGCAAUGCCGCGUGAGUGAAGAAGGCCUUCGGGUUGUAAAGCUCUUUUGUCAGGGAAGAAACGGUGAGAGCUAAUAUCUCUUGCUAAUGACGGUACCUGAAGAAUAAGCACCGGCUAACUACGUGCCAGCAGCCGCGGUAAUACGUAGGGUGCAAGCGUUAAUCGGAAUUACUGGGCGUAAAGCGUGCGCAGGCGGUUUUGUAAGUCUGAUGUGAAAUCCCCGGGCUCAACCUGGGAAUUGCAUUGGAGACUGCAAGGCUAGAAUCUGGCAGAGGGGGGUAGAAUUCCACGUGUAGCAGUGAAAUGCGUAGAUAUGUGGAGGAACACCGAUGGCGAAGGCAGCCCCCUGGGUCAAGAUUGACGCUCAUGCACGAAAGCGUGGGGAGCAAACAGGAUUAGAAACCCGGGGAGUCCCAUG
rnacentral:rRNA from 1 species